AACGAACGCUGGCGGCAUGCCUAACACAUGCAAGUCGAACGAAGUCUUCGGACUUAGUGGCGCACGGGUGCGUAACGCGUGGGAAUCUGCCCUUGGGUGCGGAAUAACUUCUCGAAAGGGAUGCUAAUACCGCAUAAUGUCGUAAGACCAAAGAUUUAUCGCCCAAGGAUGAGCCCGCGUAAGAUUAGCUAGUUGGUGGGGUAAAAGCCUACCAAGGCGACGAUCUUUAGCUGGUCUGAGAGGAUGAUCAGCCACACUGGGACUGAGACACGGCCCAGACUCCUACGGGAGGCAGCAGUGGGGAAUAUUGGACAAUGGGCGAAAGCCUGAUCCAGCAAUGCCGCGUGAGUGAUGAAGGCCCUAGGGUUGUAAAGCUCUUUUACCAGGGAUGAUAAUGACAGUACCUGGAGAAUAAGCUCUGGCUAACUCCGUGCCAGCAGCCGCGGUAAU
rnacentral:rRNA from 1 species